rnacentral:rRNA from 1 species
ACGGAAGGCAGCAGUGGGGAAUAUUGCACAAUGGGGGAAACCCUGAUGCAGCAACGCCGCGUGAAGGAAGACGGUCUUCGGAUUGUAAACUUUUGUUCUUAGUGAAGAUAAUGACGGUAGCUAAGGAGAAAGCCACGGCUAACUACGUGCCAGCAGCCGCGGUAAUACGUAGGUGGCAAGCGUUGUCCGGAAUUACUGGGUGUAAAGGGAGCGCAGGCGGGAAAUCAAGUUGGAUGUGAAAUGUCGGGGCUUAACCCCGGAACUGCAUCCAAAACUGAUUUUCUUGAGUGAAGUAGAGGUAGGCGGAAUUCCGAGUGUAGCGGUGAAAUGCGUAGAUAUUAGGAGGAACACCAGUGGCGAAGGCGGCUUACUGGACGGUAACUGACGUUGAGGCUCGAAAGCGUGGGGAGCAAACAGGAUUAGAUACCCUGGUA